UACGUAGGUGGCAAGCGUUAUCCGGAAUUAUUGGGCGUAAAGCGCGCGCAGGCGGUUUCUUAAGUCUGAUGUGAAAGCCCACGGCUCAACCGUCGAGGGUCAUUGGAAACUGGGGAACUUGAGUGCAGAAGAGAAAAGCGGAAUUCCACGUGUAGCGGUGAAAUGCGUAGAGAUGUGGAGGAACACCAGUGGCGAAGGCGGCUUUUUGGACUGUAACUGACGCUGAGGCGCGAAAGCGUGGGGAGCAAACAGG
rnacentral:rRNA from 1 species